UUUGCGUUUAGCUGGAAGGCAAGUUUUCUUAUUGAUUGAAUGACUGUUGCCGUCAGGGUGUAACAUUGAUAGCUAUCAAUACAGGGAGAGAAUAAAAGAAGACUUAAUUUUUAAAAAUUGAGGAGAUACAAGACAAAGGCUAGUUAAAUUUGCCGAAAGAGUACCAGAAUAAAAAAGAAGUACAAUCCUGGGCUCUCAUGAAAGAGACAAGUAGAAAAUCCCAAUACAGAAGUUCAGUUCUCCAGCUGAAAACUUAGUCCCAGACGAUCUAGUUGAGACAAUUUCUACUCAACUGUCCUGCUUCCCAAUGUUUCAACCAGCAAUGUAGAUCCACGGCCUUCCUCUUACAGAAGUUAAACAUUCUG
rnacentral:lncRNA from 1 species